rnacentral:rRNA from 1 species
GAUGAACGCUGGCGGCGUGCUUAACACAUGCAAGUCGAGCGAGAAGUUUUGACAUGCUUCUUCGGUUGAAAUUUAAAAUGUAAAUCGUCCGACGGGUUAGUAACGCUUAUGCAACCUGCCCCAUACAAAGGGAUAGCAUUUCGACACGAAUCUUAAUACCUUAUGAAACUUAACUUGUGCAUGCUAGGUAGGUCAUAGAUUUAUCUGUAUGUGAUUGGCCUGCGUCUGAUUAGCUAGUUGGUGGGGUAAAGGCUCACCAAUGCGACGAUCCGUAACCGGCCAGAGAGGAUGAGCAGUCACAAUGGAAAUGAGACACGGGCCAGAAGCGUAAGAGAGGCAGCAGUGGGGAAUAUUGGACAAGGGGAGAAAGGGUGAAACAGCGAUGCCGCGUGUGUGAAGAAGGUCUUCGGAUUGUAAAGAACUUUAAGGUGGGAGGAAGGGCAGUAAGUUAAUACCUUGAUGUUUUGACGUUAAAAACAGAAUAAGCACCGGCUAACUGCGU